rnacentral:snRNA from 1 species
GUGCUCGGGCAGCACAUACACUAAAUGGAACAAUAGAAUUAGAAUGGCCCCUGCACAAGGGUGAUUUGCAGAUUGGUGAAGUGUUCCAUUUGGCA